rnacentral:rRNA from 1 species
AGCAGCCGCGGUAAUUCCAGCUCCAAUAGCAUAUAUUAAAGUUGUUGCAGUUAAAAAGCUCGUAGUUGAAUUUCGGGAUUAGUACGUUGGUCGUGCCUUCGGUACGUACUGGUGUUACUGAUUCCUACCUUCUGACGAACCAUCAUGUCAUUUAUUUGGUGUGGCGGGGAAUCAGGACUGUUACUUUGAAAAAAUUGAGUGUUUAAAAGCAGGCUCGCGCUUGAAUACAUUAGCAUGGAAUAAUGAAAUAGGACGUUGACCCUAUUUUGUUGGUUUCUAGGAUUGACGUAAUGAUUAAUAGGGAUAGUUGGGGGCAUUAGUAUUCAAUUGUCAGAGGUGAAAUUCUUGGGAUUUAUUGAAGACUAACUACUGACGAAAGCAUUUGACCAAGGNUGUUUUCAUUAAUCAAGAACGAAAGUUAGGGGAUACGGAAAGACGAUCAGAUACCGUGUAGUACUUAACCAUAAACUAU